rfam:Myotis davidii contig93334, whole genome shotgun sequence.
AGCAGAUCUAGGGUGACACACCCUGGAAUCAGGCUCCCUCCUCUCUGUUUCCAGGUGAGUCACCUGAGAACCACA